rnacentral:rRNA from 1 species
AGAGUUUGAUCCUGGCUCAGAAUCAACGCUGGCGGCGNNNUUAACACAUGCAAGUCGAACGAGAAAGCCCCGCAAGGGUGAGUAAAGUGGCGUACGGGUGAGUAACACGUGGGUAAUCUACCUUUUGGUGGGGAAUAACCCUGGGAAACCGGGGCUAAUACCGCAUAAGCUCGAAAGAGGAAAGGAGCAAUUCGCCGAAAGAGGAGCCCGCGGAUUAGCUAGUUGGUGAGGUAAAGGCUCACCAAGGCUAUGAUCGGUAGCCGGCCUGAGAGGGCACACGGCCACACUGGCACUGAAACACGGGCCAGACUCCUACGGGAGGCAGCAGUGGGGAAUCUUGCACAAUGGGGGAAACCCUGAUGCAGCGACGCCGCGUGAGCGAUGAAGCCCUUCGGGGUGUAAAGCUCUUUCGGCAGGGACGAUAAUGACGGUACCCGAAGAAGAAGCUGCGGCUAACUACGUGCCAGCAGCCGCGGUAAUACGUAGGCAGCGAGCGUUGUUCGGAGUUACUGGGCGUAAAGAGUGCGUAGGCGGUUUUCUAAGUUUGGUGUGAAAUCUCCCGGCUUAACUGGGAGGGUGCGCCGAAGACUGGAAGGCUAGAGUAUGGGAGAGGUAAGCGGAAUUCCUGGUGUAGCGGUGAAAUGCGUAGAUAUCAGGAGGNNNNCCUGCGGUGUAGACGGCUUACUGGACCAUAACUGACGCUGAGGCACGAAAGCGUGGGUAGCAAACAGGAUUAGAUACCCUAGUAGUCC